UACGGAGGGUGCGAGCGUUGUCCGGAAUCACUGGGCGUAAAGGGCGCGUAGGUGGCGCGGGCAGUCAACGGUGAAAGUUCGGGGCUCAACCCUGAAUCGGCCGUCGAUACUCCCGGGCUUGAGCACUGUAGAGGCAGAUGGAAUUCCGGGUGUAGCGGUGGAAUGCGUAGAGAUCCGGAAGAACACCGGUGGCGAAGGCGGCCUGCUGGGCAGUAGCUGACACUGAGGCGCGACAGCGUGGGGAGCAAACAGG
rnacentral:rRNA from 1 species